ACAGCCUGAAUCGCGGCGAUGGCC
rnacentral:siRNA from 1 species